AUUGAACGCUGGCGGCAGGCCUAACACAUGCAAGUCGAGCGAGCGGCGGACGGGUGAGUAAUGUAUGGGAAUCUGCCCGAUGGAGGGGGAUAACUACUGGAAACGGUAGCUAAUACCGCAUACUAUCAGAUGAACCCAGAUGGGAUUAGCUAGUAGGUGGGGUAAAGGCUCACCUAGGCGACGAUCCCUAGCUGGUCUGAGAGGAUGAUCAGCCACACUGGGACUGAGACACGGUCCAGACUCCUACGGGAGGCAGCAGUGGGGAAUAUUGCACAAUGGGCGCAAGCCUGAUGCAGCCAUGCCGCGUGUAUGAAGAAGGCCUUCGGGUUGUAAAGCACUUUCAGCGAGGAGGCGUUACCCGCAGAAGAAGCACCGGCUAACUCCGUGCCAGCAGCCGCGGUAAUAC
rnacentral:rRNA from 1 species